rnacentral:rRNA from 1 species
AAGCCAACCAGCUAGCUCAAACCCUCAAGACCAACAACAAACAUUAAUAAACCCUAAUAAUUUAUUUAAAUAAUAAUUGAACAAACCAUUUUUCCCCCUAAGUAUGGGCGACAGAAAAGGAAACAAUGAAGCAACAGCCACAGUACCGCAAGGGAACGCUGAAAGAGAAAUGACACAAAUCAGUCUAAGCAUAGAAUAGCAGAGAUUAGCUCUCGUACCUUUUGCAUCAUGAUUUAGCAAGUAACCACCAGGCAAAGAGUACUUUAGUUUGGUCCCCCGAAGCUAGGUGAGCUACUCCAAGACAGCCUGUAAGGGCGAACCCGUCUCUGUUGCAAAAGAGUGGGAAGAGCUUUGAGUAGAGGUGACAGACCAAUCGAACCUAGUCAUAGCUGGUUGUUCAAGAAAUGAAUAGAAGUUCAGCCUUUUAUCUUCUUAACCCAAAACCACAACAAAACCCCCACGCAUAAAAGAAGAUUAAAGAGUUAGUCAAAGGGGGGACAGCCCCUUUGAAAAAGAUACAACUUUUACAGAAGGGUUAAGAUCAUAACACAAACAGGGACCGUGCCCUAGUUGGCCUAAAAGCAGCCACCCAAAAAGAAAGCGUUAAAGCUCACGCACCCAGCCCACCCCCCUCUUAUUUAGACACAUAAAUCUUAAUCCCCUUUACAUAUUGAACCUUUCCAUACCCCUAUGGAAGUGAUAAUGCUAAAAUGAGUAAUAAGAGACUAAGAAUCUCUCCCCGCACAAGUGUACAUCGGAUCGAACUUCUCACCGAAAUCUAACGGCCCCAAAACCAGAGGGAAAUGAAAUAUGUAAUAAAGAACACUAGAAAUGCUUUCACUCCCCACCGUUAAUCUUACACCAGCGUGCACACAAGGAAAGACCAUAAGAAAAAGAAGGAACUCGGCA